GACGAACGCUGGCGGCGUGCUUAACACAUGCAAGUCGAACGGAAAGGCCCUGCUUUUGUGGGGUGCUCGAGUGGCGAACGGGUGAGUAACACGUGAGUAACCUGCCCUUGACUUUGGGAUAACUUCAGGAAACUGGGGCUAAUACCGGAUAGGAGCUCCUGCUGCAUGGUGGGGGUUGGAAAGUUUCGGCGGUUGGGGAUGGACUCGCGGCUUAUCAGCUUGUUGGUGGGGUAGUGGCUUACCAAGGCUUUGACGGGUAGCCGGCCUGAGAGGGUGACCGGCCACAUUGGGACUGAGAUACGGCCCAGACUCCUACGGGAGGCAGCAGUGGGGAAUAUUGCACAAUGGGCGGAAGCCUGAUGCAGCAACGCCGCGUGCGGGAUGACGGCCUUCGAGUUGUAAACCGCUUUCGCCUGUGACGAAGCGUGAGUGACGGUAAUGGGUAAAGAAGCACCGGCUAACUACGUGCCAGCAGCCGCGGUGAUACGUAGGGUGCGAGCGUUGUCCGGAUUUAUUGGGCGUAAAGGGCUCGUAGGUGGUUGAUCGCGUCGGAAGUGUAAUCUUGGGGCUUAACCCUGAGCGUGCUUUCGAUACGGGUUGACUUGAGGAAGGUAGGGGAGAAUGGAAUUCCUGGUGGAGCGGUGGAAUGCGCAGAUAUCAGGAGGAACACCAGUGGCGAAGGCGGUUCUCUGGGCCUUUCCUGACGCUGAGGAGCGAAAGCGUGGGGAGCGAACAGGCUUAGAUACCCUGGUAGUCCACGCUGUAAACGGUGGGUACUAGGUGUGGGGUCCAUUCCACGGGUUCCGUGCCGUAGCUAACGCUUUAAGUACCCCGCCUGGGGAGUACGGCCGCAAGGCUAAAACUCAAAGGAAUUGACGGGGCCCCGCACAAGCGGCGGAGCAUGCGGAUUAAUUCGAUGCAACGCGUAGAACCUUACCUGGGUUUGACAUGGAUCGGGAGUGCUCAGAGAUGGGUGUGCCUCUUUUGGGGUCGGUUCACAGGUGGUGCAUGCCUGUCGUCAGCUCGUGUCGUGAGAUGUUGGGUUAAGUCCCGCAACGAGCGCAACCCUUGUUCACUGUUGCCAGCACGUUAUGGUGGGGACUCAGUGGAGACCGCCGGGGUCAACUCGGAGGAAGGUGGGGAUGACGUCAAGUCCUCAUGCCCCUUAUGUCCAGGGCUUCACGCAUGCUACAAUGGCUGGUACAGAGAGUGGCGAGCCUGUGAGGGUGAGCGAAUCUCGGAAAGCCGGUCUCAGUUCGGAUUGGGGUCUGCAACUCGACCUCAUGAAGUCGGAGUCGCUAGUAAUCGCAGAUCAGCAACGCUGCGGUGAAUACGUUCCCGGG
rnacentral:rRNA from 1 species